AUUGAACGCUGGCGGCAUGCCUUACACAUGCAAGUCGAACGGCAGCACGGGUGCUUGCACCUGGUGGCGAGUGGCGAACGGGUGAGUAAUACAUCGGAACGUACCUUAUCGUGGGGGAUAACGCAGCGAAAGUUGCGCUAAUACCGCAUACGCCCUGAGGGGGAAAGCGGGGGACCGUAAGGCCUCGCGCGAUUAGAGCGGCCGAUGUCUGAUUAGCUUGUUGGUGGGGUAAAAGCCCACCAAGGCGACGAUCAGUAGCUGGUCUGAGAGGACGAUCAGCCACACUGGGACUGAGACACGGCCCAGACUCCUACGGGAGGCAGCAGUGGGGAAUUUUGGACAAUGGGGGCAACCCUGAUCCAGCAAUGCCGCGUGAGUGAAGAAGGCCUUCGGGUUGUAAAGCUCUUUUGUCAGGGAAGAAACACCGGCUCUAACACAGUCCGGGAAUGACGGUACCUGAAGAAUAAGCACCGGCUAACUACGUGCCAGCAGCCGCCGUAA
rnacentral:rRNA from 1 species